AAUUUGAAGAGAAAACUAGUGACAAUGUGUUCAUUUUUAUAGGAGUUUCAUUGUGAUGUUGUUAUUAUUUUUUCCAUCAAUUAGCAUUUUUUUGGCAAAAUGUUCUUUUUCUUUAGUUGGGCUUGUAUGCCUUUAUGGAUCGAUGUGGAUUUUGAUUAAUUGAAUAGUUACUACUUCAGAUUCUAAAUUGUCAAGGGUGUUAUUAAUAUAAGAGAUGCUUCUAUAUCAAAUAUGUUUAAAUAAUAGUAAAUUCACGUGUCAUUUAAGUGUGAUGACACAUAAACAUAAAAAAGUAUCAAGAAUGAAGCUUGUUAGACGACUUCAAAAUUGUAAUUGGAAACAGAAUACAUACAUUUAUGUAAUGAGUAGCAUCUUGUACCAAAGGACAUGGGGGACAAUUUUAAGAAAGUCACUAUUCAAGAUAUUAUUCGAUCUCAAGUUUUUAAUAUCGUUAAAUUUUUCCAUUUGCAUGUACUUUUGAUUCUUAUUAUUCAAUAAGGAAUUUCAUAUUAUUUUACACAUAAAUCAUUUGAUUGAAGCAUGGUGGAGUUUCACUCAGAGAUGAGAAUGUAGUUGUUUAUAAUGUCAAAAUUGAUUUGACUUGCAGAGAACAUAUUCCUCUAAAAAGGUAUCUAGUAAUGAAUAAUCAUACAUAGACCUUCAUUUUGUUUUAA